rfam:Brachybacterium faecium DSM 4810 strain 6-10, complete genome.
GGACAUCCGUCCUGUGAGACCUCUCGUCGUUCCCGCCCCGACGCAACUUCCCCGGUGGCGGGUCGGGAACGACGGGGAAUCUGGCAGGACGGCACCGCGAGG